UACGUAGGGGGCUAGCGUUGUCCGGAAUCAUUGGGCGUAAAGAGCGCGCAGGCGGUCGUUCAAGUCGCGUGUGAAAGCCCCCGGCUCAACUGGGGAGGGUCACGCGAUACUGGUCGACUCGAAGGCAGGAGAGGGUAGUGGAAUUCCCGGUGUAGUGGUGAAAUGCGUAGAUAUCGGGAGGAACACCAGUGGCGAAGGCGACUACCUGGCCUGUUUCUUGACGCUGAGGCGCGAAAGCUAGGGGAGCAAACGGG
rnacentral:rRNA from 1 species